rnacentral:rRNA from 1 species
GACGAACGCUGGCGGCGUGCUUAACACAUGCAAGUCGAACGGAAAGGCCCUGCUUUUGUGGGGUGCUCGAGUGGCGAACGGGCGAGUAACACGUGAGUAACCUGCCCUUGACUUUGGGAUAACUUCAGGAAACUGGGGCUAAUACCGGAUAGGAGCUCCUGCUGCAUGGUGGGGGUUGGAAAGUUUCGGCGGUUGGGGAUGGACUCGCGGCUUAUCAGCUUGUUGGUGGGGUAGUGGCUUACCAAGGCUUUGACGGGUAGCCGGCCUGAGAGGGUGACCGGCCACAUUGGGACUGAGAUACGGCCCAGACUCCAACGGGAGGCAGCAGUGGGGAAUAUUGCACAAUGGGCGGAAGCCUGAUGCAGCAACGCCGCGUGCGGGAUGACGGCCUUCGGGUUGUAAACCGCUUUCGCCUGUGACGAAGCGUGAGUGACGGUAAUGGGUAAAGAAGCACCGGCUAACUACGUG